rnacentral:misc_RNA from 1 species
AGUAAAACAGUACGUGAAAUUGUUGAAAGGGAAACGAUUGAAGUCAGUCAUGCCGGCGUUGGAUUCAGCUUGCUUCGCGGAGCUUGCGCAUUUCCUCGCAUGGCAGGUCAGCGUCAGUUUUGCGCGGCGUGAAAAGGCUCGGGUAAGGUGGCUCUCUUCGGGGAGUGUUAUAGACCUGGGCAGAUGCGCUGCGCGGGACUGAGGAUUGCAGCGGACACCUCUUCGGGGGCGCGGCGACCGAACCCUGCUCGGCCACCCGAGUUCGAUAGCGUGCUAACGGACGCGGGAGCGGCAGUGCACCGGAACAGGCAAGCCAGCGGUUCGCUUAGGAUGCUGACGUAAUGGCUUUAAA